rnacentral:lncRNA from 1 species
GUCAUCUACGGCCUUGGGAAUGACUGAGAAAAGUCGCCACGUGUGAGGAAUUGACCUUGGAAAAACCAGAAGCUGUGACCAGCACCAGACUUCGAAAAUAUAUUGCCACAGUAUCACAGAUUUUAGAUCUGCAAGAGAACGAACUUGACUGGCUUGCUCGCCACCUUGGUCAUGAUAUUAGGGUCCACAGAGAACAUUAUCGAUUACACGAUUCAACCAUAGAACUUGCGAAGGUUGGCAAACUCCUCUACACUGUGGACGAGGGAAAAACCACACAAUGGGCCGGAAAAUCACUCGACGAAAUUGACCUGAACAGUGGUCUAGUUGAAGAUGACAGGGAGCUGGAUCAGAAGAAGAUAGUGAAAGUGAUAGUGAUGCUGAGCUACCGAGUCCGAGUGUCCCAGUGCAACAAAGGGGAGUGGAGGGAACAAGUAGCUCAAAGGGAUCGCCAUCAGGAUUAACUGCUAAGACCAAAAAGACCACACAAGAUAAAGAAGCCGUAACAAAAGAGAAGAACGGUCCUACUGCUGCCUUAGCAAAGAAAAAGGGUUAUAGGCCUGGACAAAGGAAGAAAAACAUGCAGUUUUCAAGUACCUUUGAGCCUUCGUCAAAAACGAGAAACUACCAGGAAAACGUGACUGUGAGAACUGUAUGAAACAAAGUGAAGGAGUGCUUGUCAAUAGAGACUGGACAGCUGUGAAAAACUGUGUGAAGAAUAUUAUUUAACGAGCAAAAGUGUUGCAAGAAAUAAACACCUAAACUUAAUCGGAAAUACUGUUUUCAGUAAAUUAUUUACAUUUGGCUAGGUGGGGCCACGUUUUGAUAUUCUUAAUGAGUUAGGUCUGGAUCUGUAAGUGUAAAAUAAGAGGCAUCGCCUCUUUGUCAUCACUGGUGACCUUAAGUUGUGAAACAUUAGUUAUUUUUGUUCAUAUUAGAUUCGACUGAGUUCCUUUUAUAGUUACUGUCCGAGUUAUUCGUUAAACCUAGAUUAAACUUACUGAUUUCCGAUAAUCACAGUCAUUUCAUUAAUGUGAACUUGAAGCAAAAAAACGUGAAUGUAAAAAGUGUAGGAGUGUUGCUGUGAAAAAUUGCUUAAAGAAUAUUAUUUGACAACCAAAAGACUAGACUUAAUCGGAACUCGUUACGCUUCCUGUGAGUUACAUUCGACUAAUUAAGGCGAGCUUUAAAGAGGGAAAAUACGUGCUAGUCAACAGCGAUUGGACAUCUGUGAAAAAUUGUGUGCAGAAUAUUAUUUCGCAAGCAAAAUUAUUGCAAGAAAAAACCAUCUAAACUUAAUUGGAACUUGUUACGUUUCAACUUAUUUAGGAGGCCUUUUCACAUGAAAAACAAGAGCUAGCAAACAGAGAUUGGAUUUUUGUGAAAAAUUGUGCAAAGAAUAUUAUUUCGCAAGCAAAAUUAUUCGUAUAGGUAAUCGCAUGGGGCCGAGUAAAAUUAAGGAUUAAUAUCACGCGUGUUUUCAGAAGUUGCUGAAAUUGCCCGAGUCGCGCACGACUCGGGCAAUUUCAGCAACUUCUGAAAACACGCGAGAUAUUAAUCCUUAAUUGUACUCGGCCCCAUGCGAUUACCUAUCCUGAGAGUAACAUUCCACUGAUCGAGGCGAGCUUUAAAGAAGGAAAAAGUGCUGGUCAUCAGAGAUGAGACAGCUGUGAAAAAUUGUGCAAAGAAUAUUAUUUCACAAGCAAAAUUAUUGCAAUUAAAAAAAACCCCUAAACUUAAUCGAAACUUGUUACUUUUCCUGUAAGUUACAUUCGACUAAUUGAGGCGAGCUUUUAAGAGGGAAAGUAAGUGCUGGUCAACAGAGAUAGGGCAGUUGCAAAACAUUGUUUUUAGAAUAUUAUUUCAGGACCAAGAGUAUUACAGGAAAAAAAACACCUAAACU